CCUACGGGAGGCAGCAGUGGGGAAUAUUGCACAAUGGGGGAAACCCUGAUGCAGCGACGCCGCGUGAGUGAAGAAGUAUUUCGGUAUGUAAAGCUCUAUCAGCAGGGAAGAAAUAGCGACCUUUGGGUCGCCAGACGGUACCUGAUGAAGAAGCGCCGGCUAACUACGUGCCAGCAGCCGCGGUAAUACGUAGGGGGCAAGCGUUAUCCGGAUUUACUGGGUGUAAAGGGAGCGUAGACGGCAGCGCAAGUCUGAAGUGAAAUGCCGGGGCUUAACCCCGGAACUGCUUUGGAAACUGUGCAGCUAGAGUGCAGGAGAGGUAAGUGGAAUUCCUAGUGUAGCGGUGAAAUGCGUAGAGAUUAGGAGGAACACCAGUGGCGAAGGCAGCUUACUGGACUGUAACUGACGUUGAGGCACGAAAGCGUGGGGAGCAAACAGGAUUAGAUACCCCAGUAGUC
rnacentral:rRNA from 1 species